UCUAGGGAAGAAAGGUCUUGAGAGAGUGAUGUCAAGGAACGAUCCUUCUGGGCUCCAAAGGGAUAUUUAUUCCUGGGAUCCAGCACUGAUCUGGGGAAAAGAAAUUCAACAACUUUUGACUGACAUGGAGACAAGAAAAGAAACCUUCUCUUCCUCCCCAUCCUAAUAUGCAUGACCCACCCACCAAGGAAGUGCCAGGAAAGUCACCAUGCAGGUCUUGGGAAGAAAAGCCAUGAAGGAGCAAUGACAAGGAACGAUCCUUCUGGACUCCAAAGGGAUAUUUAUUCCUGGGAUCCAGCACUGAUCCGGGGGUGAACGAUCUGUGUUUUUAUGUGCUACAUGGAUGCAUGUUUCGGGACAUUCGCUGGGCCUGUGUUAAUCUAGGCAGGGAUCAAUUUGAUCCAAAUCAUCAAGGAGGGUCAGGUUGGAGGGGGAAAGUACGAGGAGGGAAAGGAAGAUGUCAUUUCCUUGGUCCUUGGUUCUGUCUUCUUGUUUCCAGCCUUAAACUGAACUCUCAUUUGCAUGUUUUUAGACUACUACAAAAGAAAUUAAAUAACUUUUGACUGA